CCUGGCUCAGAUUGAACGCUGGCGGCAGGCCUAACACAUGCAAGUCGAGCGGAAACGGCAGUAUUGAAGCUUCGGUGGAUUUACUGGACGUCGAGCGGCGGACGGGUGAGUAACGGCUGGGAACCUGCCCUGACGCGGGGGAUAACCGUUGGAAACGACGGCUAAUACCGCAUAAUGUCUUAGUUCAUUACGAGCUGGGACCAAAGGUGGCCUCUACAUGUAAGCUAUCGCGUUGGGAUGGGCCCAGUUAGGAUUAGCUAGUUGGUAAGGUAAUGGCUUACCAAGGCAACGAUCCUUAGCUGGUUUGAGAGGAUGAUCAGCCACACUGGGACUGAGACACGGCCCAGACUCCUACGGGAGGCAGCAGUGGGGAAUAUUGCACAAUGGGGGAGACCCUGAUGCAGCCAUGCCGCGUGUGUGAAGAAGGCCUUCGGGUUGUAAAGCACUUUCAGCAGUGAGGAAGGUGGUGUACUUAAUAAGUGCAUGGCUUGACGUUAGCUGCAGAAGAAGCACCGGCUAACUCCGUGCCAGCAGCCGCGGUAAUACGGAGGGUGCGAGCGUUAAUCGGAAUUACUGGGCGUAAAGCGCAUGCAGGCGGUUUGUUAAGUCAGAUGUGAAAGCCCGGGGCUCAACCUCGGAACCGCAUUUGAAACUGGCAGGCUAGAGUCUUGUAGAGGGGGGUAGAAUUUCAGUGUAGCGGUGAAAUGCGUAGAGAUCUGAAGGAAUACCAGUGGCGA
rnacentral:rRNA from 1 species